GACGAACGCUGGCGGCGUGCUUAACACAUGCAAGUCGAGCGGUAAGGCUCCUUCGGGAGUACACGAGCGGCGAACGGGUGAGUAACACGUGAGUAAUCUGCCCUUCACUUGGGGAUAAGCCUGGGAAGCUGGGUCUAAUACCUGAUAUUCAUACAUGGUCGCAUGGUUGUGUGUGGAAAGAUUUUUUGGUGGGGGAUGUGCUCGCGGCCUAUCAGCUUGUUGGUGGGGUAAUGGCCUACCAAGGCUUUGACGGGUAGCCGGCCUGAGAGGGUGACCGGCCACACUGGGACUGAGACACGGCCCAGACUCCUACGGGAGGCAGCAGUGGGGAAUAUUGGACAAUGGGCGGAAGCCUGAUCCAGCAACGCCGCGUGAGGGAUGACGGCCUUCGGGUUGUAAACCUCUUUCAUCAUUGACGCAGGCCUCGCUUUUUGGUGGGGUUGACGGUAGGUGAAGAAGAAGCACCGGCCAACUACGUGCCAGCAGCCGCAGUAACAC
rnacentral:rRNA from 1 species